rnacentral:misc_RNA from 1 species
GUGCCAUAAUUUUGAAGAAUUAUUGCUCUCAACUAUAUUCACAAGAUUGGGAGAUAUUAAAGCUUCAAACCAGUAUAAAACUGAAGACUUCUUCGCUCUAGUCACAACUAGUAAACCUUUUAGUGAGUUUCAAUUACCCAUCAUUGAACAUGCUAGAAUAUUUGUCAUCAUCAAGUUUACAAGCAAAGAUCAAAUGCAACCAGACAUCCGGUGCAUGUCUAACAUCUUUAAG